rnacentral:misc_RNA from 1 species
GAUGAAGAACGUAGCGAAAUGCGAUACGUAAUGUGAAUUGCAGAAUUCAGUGAAUCAUCGAAUCUUUGAACGCACAUUGCGCCCGCUAGUAUUCUGGCGGGCAUGCCUGUCCGAGCGUCAUUUCAACCCUCAAGCCCCUGGGCUUGGUGUUGGGGAUCGGCGAGCCUCCGCGCCCGCCGUCCCCUAAAUCUAGUGGCGGUCUCGCUGUAGCUUCCUCUGCGUAGUAGCACACCUCGCACUGGGAAACAGCGCGGCCACGCCGUUAAACCCCCAACUUCUGAACGUUUGACCUCGGAUCAGGUAGGAAUACCCGCUGAACUUAAGCAUAUCAAUAAGCGGAGGA